AACNCUGGCGGCAGGCUUAACACAUGCAAGUCGAGCGCCCCGCAAGGGGAGCGGCAGACGGGUGAGUAACGCGUGGGAACGUACCCUUUACUACGGAAUAACGCAUGGAAACGUGUGCUAAUACCGUAUGUGCCCUUUGGGGGAAAGAUUUAUCGGUAAAGGAUCGGCCCGCGUUGGAUUAGCUAGUUGGUGGGGUAAAGGCCUACCAAGGCGACGAUCCAUAGCUGGUCUGAGAGGAUGAUCAGCCACAUUGGGACUGAGACACGGCCCAAACUCCUACGGGAGGCAGCAGUGGGGAAUAUUGGACAAUGGGCGCAAGCCUGAUCCAGCCAUGCCGCGUGAGUGAUGAAGGCCCUAGGGUUGUAAAGCUCUUUCACCGGUGAAGAUAAUGACGGUAACCGGAGAAGAAGCCCCGGCUAACUUCGUGCCAGCAGCCGCGGUAAUACGAAGGGGGCUAGCGUUGUUCGGAUUUACUGGGCGUAAAGCGCACGUAGGCGG
rnacentral:rRNA from 1 species